rnacentral:rRNA from 1 species
GGGUUGUGAGGUUAAGCGACUAAGCGUACACGGUGGAUGCCCUGGCAGUCAGAGGCGAUGAAGGACGUGCUAAUCUGCGAUAAGCGUCGGUGAGGUGAUAUGAACCGUUAUAACCGGCGAUUUCCGAAUGGGGAAACCCAGUGUGUUUCGACACACUAUCAUUAACUGAAUCCAUAGGUUAAUGAGGCGAACCGGGGGAACUGAAACAUCUAAGUACCCCGAGGAAAGAAAUCAACCGAGAUUCCCCAGUAGCGGCGAGCGAACGGGGAGGAGCCCAGAGCCUGAAUCAGUGUGUGUGUUAGUGGAAGCGUCUGGAAAGGCGCGCGAUACAGGGUGACAGCCCCGUACACAAAAUGCACAUACUGUGAGCUCGAUGAGUAGGGCGGGACACGUGGUAUCCUGUCUGAAUAUGGGGGACCAUCCUCCAAGGCUAAAUACUCCUGACUGACCGAUAGUGAACCAGUACCGUGAGGGAAAGGCGAAAAGAACCCCGGCGAGGGGAGUGAAAAGAACCUGAAACCGUGUACGUACAAGCAGUGGGAGCCUCUUAAUGGGGUGACUGCGUACCUUUUGUAUAAUGGGUCAGCGACUUAUAUUCUGUAGCAAGGUUAACCGAAUAGGGGAGCCGAAGGGAAACCGAGUCUUAACUGGGCGUUAAGUUGCAGGGUAUAGACCCGAAACCCGGUGAUCUAGCCAUGGGCAGGUUGAAGGUUGGGUAACACUAACUGGAGGACCGAACCGACUAAUGUUGAAAAAUUAGCGGAUGACUUGUGGCUGGGGGUGAAAGGCCAAUCAAACCGGGAGAUAGCUGGUUCUCCCCGAAAGCUAUUUAGGUAGCGCCUCGUGAAUUCAUCUCCGGGGGUAGAGCACUGUUUCGGCAAGGGGGUCAUCCCGACUUACCAACCCGAUGCAAACUGCGAAUACCGGAGAAUGUUAUCACGGGAGACACACGGCGGGUGCUAACGUCCGUCGUGAAGAGGGAAACAACCCAGACCGCCAGCUAAGGUCCCAAAGUCAUGGUUAAGUGGGAAACGAUGUGGGAAGGCCCAGACAGCCAGGAUGUUGGCUUAGAAGCAGCCAUCAUUUAAAGAAAGCGUAAUAGCUCACUGGUCGAGUCGGCCUGCGCGGAAGAUGUAACGGGGCUAAACCAUGCACCGAAGCUGCGGCAGCGACACUAUGUGUUGUUGGGUAGGGGAGCGUUCUGUAAGCCUGUGAAGGUGGCCUGUGAGGGUUGCUGGAGGUAUCAGAAGUGCGAAUGCUGACAUAAGUAACGAUAAAGCGGGUGAAAAGCCCGCUCGCCGGAAGACCAAGGGUUCCUGUCCAACGUUAAUCGGGGCAGGGUGAGUCGACCCCUAAGGCGAGGCCGAAAGGCGUAGUCGAUGGGAAACAGGUUAAUAUUCCUGUACUUGGUGUUACUGCGAAGGGGGGACGGAGAAGGCUAUGUUGGCCGGGCGACGGUUGUCCCGGUUUAAGCGUGUAGGCUGGUUUUCCAGGCAAAUCCGGAAAACCAAGGCUGAGGCGUGAUGACGAGGCACUACGGUGCUGAAGCGACAAAUGCCCUGCUUCCAGGAAAAGCCUCUAAGCAUCAGGUAACAUCAAAUCGUACCCCAAACCGACACAGGUGGUCAGGUAGAGAAUACCAAGGCGCUUGAGAGAACUCGGGUGAAGGAACUAGGCAAAAUGGUGCCGUAACUUCGGGAGAAGGCACGCUGAUAUGUAGGUGAAGCGACUUGCUCGUGGAGCUGAAAUCAGUCGAAGAUACCAGCUGGCUGCAACUGUUUAUUAAAAACACAGCACUGUGCAAACACGAAAGUGGACGUAUACGGUGUGACGCCUGCCCGGUGCCGGAAGGUUAAUUGAUGGGGUUAGCGGUAACGCGAAGCUCUUGAUCGAAGCCCCGGUAAACGGCGGCCGUAACUAUAACGGUCCUAAGGUAGCGAAAUUCCUUGUCGGGUAAGUUCCGACCUGCACGAAUGGCGUAAUGAUGGCCAGGCUGUCUCCACCCGAGACUCAGUGAAAUUGAACUCGCUGUGAAGAUGCAGUGUACCCGCGGCAAGACGGAAAGACCCCGUGAACCUUUACUAUAGCUUGACACUGAACAUUGAGCCUUGAUGUGUAGGAUAGGUGGGAGGCUUUGAAGUGUGGACGCCAGUCUGCAUGGAGCCGACCUUGAAAUACCACCCUUUAAUGUUUGAUGUUCUAACGUUGGCCCGUAAUCCGGGUUGCGGACAGUGUCUGGUGGGUAGUUUGACUGGGGCGGUCUCCUCCUAAAGAGUAACGGAGGAGCACGAAGGUUGGCUAAUCCUGGUCGGACAUCAGGAGGUUAGUGCAAUGGCAUAAGCCAGCUUGACUGCGAGCGUGACGGCGCGAGCAGGUGCGAAAGCAGGUCAUAGUGAUCCGGUGGUUCUGAAUGGAAGGGCCAUCGCUCAACGGAUAAAAGGUACUCCGGGGAUAACAGGCUGAUACCGCCCAAGAGUUCAUAUCGACGGCGGUGUUUGGCACCUCGAUGUCGGCUCAUCACAUCCUGGGGCUGAAGUAGGUCCCAAGGGUAUGGCUGUUCGCCAUUUAAAGUGGUACGCGAGCUGGGUUUAGAACGUCGUGAGACAGUUCGGUCCCUAUCUGCCGUGGGCGCUGGAGAACUGAGGGGGGCUGCUCCUAGUACGAGAGGACCGGAGUGGACGCAUCACUGGUGUUCGGGUUGUCAUGCCAAUGGCACUGCCCGGUAGCUAAAUGCGGAAGAGAUAAGUGCUGAAAGCAUCUAAGCACGAAACUUGCCCCGAGAUGAGUUCUCCCUGAGACUUAGAGUCUCCUGAAGGAACGUUGAAGACGACGACGUUGAUAGGCCGGGUGUGUAAGCGCAGCGAUGCGUUGAGCUAACCGGUACUAAUGAACCGUGAGGCUUAACCUUACAACGCCGAAG